rnacentral:rRNA from 1 species
UGGCCAGACUCCUACGGGAGGCAGCAGUGAGGAAUAUUGGUCAAUGGUCGGGAGACUGAACCAGCCAAGCCGCGUGAGGGAGGAAGGUACAGAGUAUCGUAAACCUCUUUUGUCAGGGAACAAAGGCGGGGACGUGUCCCCGGAUGAGUGUACCUGAAGAAAAAGCAUCGGCUAACUCCGUGCCAGCAGCCGCGGUAAUACGGAGGAUGCGAGCGUUAUCCGGAUUUAUUGGGUUUAAAGGGUGCGUAGGCGGACAGUCAAGUCAGCGGUAAAAAUGCGGUGCUCAACGCCGUACAGCCGUUGAAACUGGCAGUCUUGAGUGGGCGAGAAGUAUGCGGAAUGCGUGGUGUAGCGGUGAAAUGCAUAGAUAUCACGCAGAACUCCGAUUGCGAAGGCAGCAUACCGGCGCUCAACUGACGCUCAUGCACGAAAGCGUGGGUAUCGAACAGGAUUAGAUACCCUCGUA